UGUCUACUAAUUAUAGACCUGUAUGAAAGGCAAAAUGAGGGUCCAACUGUCUCUUAUAAUAAAUCAAUUAAACUGAUCUCCUAGUAAAAAAGCUAGAAUAAUACCAUAAGACCAGAAGACCCUGUGAAGCUUAAAUUAAACUACUAAAUCACAUAGUAAUUACUUUCGGUUGGGGCGACCUCGGAAAAAAACAAAACUUCCAAGACCCAGUAAAACUGACAAUUGAACCAAGUUACUCCAGGGAUAACAGCGCAAUCUUCUUCAAGAGCCCAUAUCAAAAAGAAGGUUUACGACCUCGAUGUUGGAUCAGGACAUCCUAAUGGUGCAGCCGCUAUUAAGGGUUCGUUUGUUCAACGAUNAACAGUCCUACGUGAUCUGA
rnacentral:rRNA from 1 species